rnacentral:lncRNA from 1 species
GACUAGUAAAACCACUUCAAAAGAAGUAUGGAGAUUCUUCAAAAAACUAAGGAUGAAACCAUCAUAUGAGCCAGCUAUGCUAUGAAGCCAAUCCAGAUGUCUGUGAAUAGAUGAAUGAAUGAAGAAAUACACACACACAUACACACACAAUGGAGUUUUACUCAGCCAUUUAAAAAGAAUGCAAUUAUGGCAUUUUCUGCUAAAUGGAUGGAAAUAGAAAAUACCAUGCUAAGCAAAAUAGGCAAACUCAAAGGUCAAAUGUUUUCUGCCAUAUGUGGAAGCUAGAGUAAAAUAAAGGAAAGGGUGAGGGAAGGAUAAAAUAACAUAAAGAACCAAUCAAUUACAAAUUAAUAGAUGAGGAAAAGGAAGUCUAAUAAAGUAAAGGAAGGAGAUGGAAAACAGGAGAGAAGAUGGGAGGAAAAGUGGGUGAUCAUAAAAUGAAAUCAAUUUCCAUUGGUGUAGGAGUUUGUCACGAUGAGCCCAACUACCAUGUAUAAGCAUAAAGUUCGAAUAAAAAAGAGACAAAGAAAAAUUAUUAGUUUUUCCUCUUGAUUCUUUGUAUAAUAUUUUAAGUUUAGAAAGGAUUUCUGCUCAAGUAGAAGUCUUUCUAUUUAUAGAAGGAAGGCAGCAGAGCAGGCAAAGAGAGGAGGAGUAUGGAAGGUAGAGAGAGAAAACUAAGCAGAGUUUUAGUCAGCUAUUUUCCUGCUGUGACUUAAAAGACCCAACCAACACAAUUAUAGAGAAGGAACAGUUUAUUUGAGGGCUCAUGGUAUCAGAAGUCUCAGUCCAUAGAAGGCUGGCUCCAUGACUUGGGGCUCUAGGUGAGGUAGAACAUGGUGGAAGAAAGCAACUCACAUGAUGAUCAGAAGCAGAGAGAGUCUACUCUCUAGAUACAAAAUAUAAAAUGCAUAGCCACAGUCCCAACGAACAACUUCCUCCAGCCACACACUACCUGCCUCCAAAAACCACUCAAUUAAUCCCAUAAGGGAUUAAUUCACUGAUUAGAUUAAGGCUAUAGCCUAAUCAUUCCUCCUCAAAACUUUCUUGUGUUGUCUCAUGUGAGCUUUUUGGGGACACCAUGUCUAAACCAUAAUAUUACACUCCUCCCCUGCUCCAAAGCUCACAAUCAUCUGAAAUGCAAAAUAGAUAUAGUUCAUUCCCAAGAGUCACCAUAGUCUCUACAGUUCCAAGAGUGCUCAAAGUUCAAAUCCAAAGUCUUCUCUGAGGCGUAAGGCAAUAUCACAUUGUGAGCUCCUAUAAACUUAAAAGCAAU